AGUGAACGCUGGCGGUAGGCCUAACACAUGCAAGUCGAACGGCAGCACAGUAAGAGCUUGCUCUUACGGGUGGCGAGUGGCGGACGGGUGAGGAAUACAUCGGAAUCUACUUUUUCGUGGGGGAUAACGUAGGGAAACUUACGCUAAUACCGCAUACGACCUACGGGUGAAAGCAGGGGAUCUUCGGACCUUGCGCGAUUGGAUGAGCCGAUGUCGGAUUAGCUAGUUGGCGGGGUAAAGGCCCACCAAGGCGACGAUCCGUAGCUGGUCUGAGAGGAUGAUCAGCCACACUGGAACUGAGACACGGUCCAGACUCCUACGGGAGGCAGCAGUGGGGAAUAUUGGACAAUGGGCGCAAGCCUGAUCCAGCCAUACCGCGUGGGUGAAGAAGGCCUUUGGGUUGUAAAGCCCUUUUGUUGGGAAAGAAAAGCAGCAGGUUAAUACCCCGCUGUUCUGACGGUACCCAAAGAAUAAGCACCGGCUAACUUCGUG
rnacentral:rRNA from 1 species